rnacentral:rRNA from 1 species
GAUGAACGCUAGCGGGAGGCCUAACACAUGCAAGCCGAGCGGUAGAGAUUCUUCGGAAUCUUGAGAGCGGCGUACGGGUGCGGAACACGUGUGCAACCUGCCUUUAUCAGGGGGAUAGCCUUUCGAAAGGAAGAUUAAUACCCCAUAAUAUAUUUGAUGGCAUCAUUAGAUAUUGAAAGCUUUGGCGGAUAGAGAUGGGCACGCGCAAGAUUAGAUAGUUGGUGAGGUAACGGCUCACCAAGUCGAUGAUCUUUAGGGGGCCUGAGAGGGUGAUCCCCCACACUGGUACUGAGACACGGACCAGACUCCUACGGGAGGCAGCAGUGAGGAAUAUUGGACAAUGGGUUAGCGCCUGAUCCAGCCAUCCCGCGUGAAGGACGACGGCCCUAUGGGUUGUAAACUUCUUUUGUACAGGGAUAAACCUACUCUCGUGAGAGUAGCUGAAGGUACUGUACGAAUAAGCACCGGCUAGCUCCGUG